AGGUUUAUCUUGAAAGGAUUUUGAGGAAACCAGAAAUCGAUGCGUUUGCAGAGGGGAGCUGAGGCCGCAUCAAAAAGCUUUAUUGCCAGAUAAGUCCACUGUGCUUGACCGGGCAAUGAUUGAGCAUAAUCUCCUUAGUGCCAGUAAACUUUACACAAAUAUCAGCUUUGAUGAGCUUGGGACAUUAUUGGGCAUUGAUCCAAGGAAGGCAGGUCGCCUUGCUGAGAUGUUUGUUACCUUGUAGUUUGAUUGAUUCCGAAGAGAAAAUUGAUGCGAAGAGCUAGAAAUUAUAAAAUGUAUUAU